AAUAUAUUUUUCGUCUAAUAGUCCUUUACCAGUUAGGUGAAUGAUUUGAUAUGUUUUGAGUAAUGCAUCUAAAUUACCUCUUAUAGUAUCAUUUAAUUUUUUGCUUCCGAGGCUACCUCCCAUCACUAGUAAGACCUUUUUGUCGCUGCUAAACUGCGUUAAUUGAUAACC
rnacentral:ncRNA from 1 species